rnacentral:lncRNA from 1 species
GUUGGCAUACACCCUUAAGAGAAAGACAUCUUUGACUGUUUUCUUGUACCAAAACACAACCCCUCAUUGAUUAAGCAUUUAUGGACCUAAGUACAUGAACGAUGGAUCACUUGCUUGAAUUUUAAAUACCAUUUACAACUUUCUAUUUGCCAUUCUCUUAUUACUCCAUUUCACACUUCAAAAAACACCCUGCAUCGUCCUCUCCAUCUAAAAAGCCCACUCGCAUGAAGCGCCCGCCCACCUCCCACCGCCGGUCGCUGGAUUUGGUUGGUAAUUUAUUUUGCCUCAUGGUAGCAGCAACCCUCUCUUCUCCUCUGCAUCCGCCAUAGACCACAAAAUACAGGGCACCACCAACCACCUCCACUUGUGCCGCUACCCUCACGGCCACCUUACGAUCAUGAUGAUGAGAUUGACCUGAGAUUUUGCGUCGAGAAACGACUAGUUCCAAGCGGGCCCAAUCCGCUGCA